GAGGCUAUAGCUCAAUGGGAGAGCGCACGGCUGAAGCCCGUGAUGUUGAGGGUUCGAAUCCCUCUAGCCUCA
rnacentral:tRNA from 1 species